rnacentral:rRNA from 1 species
CACCGGCGGCCCGAGUGGUAGCCGCUAUUAUUGGGUCUAAAGGGUCCGUAGCCGGUUCGAUAAGUCCUCUGGGAAAUCUGGUUGCUUAACAAUCAGACUGCCAAGGGAUACUGUCGAACUUGAGACCGGGAGAGGUAAGAGGUACUUCAGGGGUAGGAGUGAAAUCUUGUAAUCCCUGGGGGACCAUCUGUGGCGAAGGCGUCUUACCAGAACGGGUCUGACGGUGAGGGACGAAAGCUGGGGGCGCAAACCGG